UUUAUUAGAUACACUACACGGACCUGUCUAUGGUACAGAUUCUGUAACAAACAUCUCCCGUCAUCCCACCAUCCGAUUUUCUAUUGUUUAGUUUCUCACUCCACAUCCAACCACAUCCAACGGCUGAUGCUGCAGUCUGUACCUUACAGAUUCUGUAAGCUAGUCGAGUCCUACACUUAACAUAUGGAUUUAGAUUUUCUGCGAUUUUUUUUUGUUUUAUUUUUAUCUUCGAUCUCAUGGUUUACGUGUUCAAAAGUUUGAAGAAAAG
rnacentral:lncRNA from 1 species